rnacentral:rRNA from 1 species
AACGAACGCUGGCGGCAGGCCUAACACAUGCAAGUCGAACGAAGUCUUCGGACUUAGUGGCGGACGGGUGAGUAACCCGUGGGAACGUGCCUUUAGGUUCGGAAUAACUUAGGGAAACUUGUGCUAAUACCGAAUGUGCCCUUCGGGGGAAAGAUUUAUCGCCUUUAGAGCGGCCCGCGUCUGAUUAGCUAGUUGGUGAGGUAAAGGCUCACCAAGGCUACGAUCAGUAGCUGGUCUGAGAGGAUGACCAGCCACAUUGGGACUGAGACACGGCCCAAAAUCCUAAGGGAGGCAGCAGUGGGGAAGCGUGCGAAAUGGGCGAAAGACUGACGCAGCCAUGCCGCGUGGAUGAUGAAGGUCUUAGGAUUGUAAAAUCCUUUCACCGGUGAAGAUAAUGACUGUAGCCGGAGAAGAAGCCCCGGCUAACUUCGCGCCAGCCGCCGCCGUAACAC